UACGUAGGUGGCAAGCGUUGUCCGGAAUUAUUGGGCGUAAAGCGCGCGCAGGCGGUCUUUUAAGUCUGGUGUGAAAGCCCACGGCUCAACCGUGGAGGGUCAUUGGAAACUGGGGGACUUGAGUACAGAAGAGAAGAGUGGAAUUCCACGUGUAGCGGUGAAAUGCGUAGAGAUGUGGAGGAACACCAGUGGCGAAGGCGACUCUUUGGGACGGUACUGACGCUGAGACGCGAAAGCGUGGGGAGCGAACAGG
rnacentral:rRNA from 1 species